rnacentral:lncRNA from 1 species
UUUAACCUAACUUUGAAUGAAAAAUAAAAAAUAAAAAAUAAUUUUAAUUCAAAAUAAGGAUGUUUUAGUAAUUUAAUAUAUAUAAAUUAAAAAAAAAAUAAAAAGUUGAGGGGUGGCCGUGACCUUCCCACGUCCCCCCUCAGUUCCGCCACUGAUGAUGAAGGAGUUUUAAUACUUCAUUAAAUUACAAACACAUCAAUAAAAGAA